rnacentral:lncRNA from 1 species
UCUGUUCAUACCAAAACUGUCUGCCUAGCAUGUAGUGAAAGUAGCCAGGACUGCAUUCAAGGUUUUCACCUUUCAGUUCCCUGUUUGCCUCUGACAAAUACAUGGAAGCUGACUUUUCCUCUACCCCAUUGCAGCCAGCACUGCAGCUUGUGUAUGGAAGAGAGAGAUGCUGUUCCUUUGCAGGAGAUGCUGAGGCUGUGCACAGAUGAUCAAGAGGGACAAGAGACACAGGAGACUGGCUUAAGGGUAUUCAGAUCACAAAGCUUUUUGAUGAAGAGAACAUGCAGCUGGCUGUUCCAGAAAAAUAAACACCACUUGUAA